UACGGAGGGUGCAAGCGUUAUCCGGAUUUACUGGGCUUAAAGGGUGCGCAGGCGGAUAUGUAAGUCAGUGGUGAAAUCUCUAGGCUUAACCUGGAAAUUGCCGUUGAUACUAUAUAUCUUGAAUGCUGUGGAGGUAAGCGGAAUAUGUCAUGUAGCGGUGAAAUGCUUAGAUAUGACAUAGAACACCUAUGGCGAAGGCAGCUUACUACGCAGAUAUUGACGCUCAUGCGCGAAAGCGUGGGGAUCAAACAGG
rnacentral:rRNA from 1 species